GACGAACGCUGGCGGCGUGCUUAACACAUGCAAGUCGAGCGAGAAAGCACCUUCGGGUGUGAGUACAGCGGCGAACGGGUGAGUAACACGUGGGCAACCUGCCCCAAAGACCGGGACAACGUUUCGAAAGGGACGCUAAUACCGGAUGUGGUGUGACCUGCCAAGCGGGUCACACUAAAUGGUAGCUUCGGCCUCCGCUUUGGGAUGGGCCCGCGCCGGAUUAGCUUGUUGGUGAGGUAACGGCUCACCAAGGCGACGAUCCGUAGCUGGUCUGAGAGGACGAUCAGCCACACUGGGACUGAGACGCGGCCCAGACUCCUACGGGAGGUAGCAGUGGGGAAUCUUGCGCAAUGGGCGAAAGCCUGACGCAGCAACGCCGCGUGAGCGAAGACGGCCUUCGGGUUGUAAAGCUCUGUCAGGAGGGACGAAGCCACUCAGGUUAAUAGCCGAGAGGGUGACGGUACCUCCACAGGAAGCCCCGGCUAACUACGUGCCAGCCGCCGCCGUAAUAC
rnacentral:rRNA from 1 species